rnacentral:lncRNA from 1 species
AGCUGGCCCCUCCCAGCACCAGGCCCUUAUAAUGGCCCGUCUGUCGCCUUCCAGGCAGGUUGGGGGGUGUCAGUGUAGAUCCUCCUGUGAUCCCCAAAGGUCCCGCACCAGCUCACCGCCACAGCGCCGGGAAACAUGCAGCCGCUUUGCAGGGUGCUGGCUGUCGCUGGGGCCGUGGUGCUGCUCCUGGCCAUUGUAGCUGCUGACGAGCCCACCAGCUCUCCGGACACAACGCCCCCUGCCGGGGGCCAGGAACCAGAGCCCGUCAGCCGUGGCAAACUGGAGGCAUCGGGAGACAGGGUGACCCCGGUGAGCCUCGGGGGAGCCGAGCGGUCGCUCACUGACGACACGCACCCAGGCGGCCUGGACGGGGACUCGGCCGGCCUCGACGCCCUCAACAGCGGCACCUUUAACCUGGACCCCCUGGCUGGGGACGCCCAAAGCGGUCCGGCGGGGGACGUGCCUGCUCAGUCCAACGAGUCGCAAGAGAGUGUGGACCACGACACCGACUCGGAGGAGGCCCUGGCAUCUCAAGGGAUGUGAGGGGCAGGGUCCCACGCCGGAGCUGCCACGGAGCCCCCAUGGACAGCAGCUUCCUGCCUUCCGCCAAACCUUCUCGCUCCCCGUCCCUGGCACCGCCCGGGUCUCGCUCUGCACCUGCCCCCCUGUCCUGCAGCCGGGAGCCUUCGGGAGUCCUGCGGCUCGCAAGUCCCUGCCCCCCACUCCCCACGGUGCGGCCCCUCGGCUGGGGCAAACCAGCAAGCCGCACGGAGCGACCCCCGCGGGGGAUCCGACCCAGCCCCUCCAGCUGGGAGACGGGCCCGAGACCCCCCAUUGGCCCAGCCUCCCGCUUUCCGAGAGCUGCUGGUAGGCCGCCCGGCUGAGCAGCCGACAUCCCCCGCCCCAGCCCCACAACGGCUCCCCCAGAGCCCCGGGGUCCCGGCGGGGUGGCACCUUGGCCAAGGCCUCACUGCUGCAGCGGGCAGGGCGGGAGCGCAGGCUCCAGGCAGCUCGGCUGCUCCAGUCCCCGACUCUCCCAGGGGAGGUGCUGCUCUGCCGGAGCACCCAGCCUCCGCAGUCCCACAUCCCAGCCUCUCCCAGCAGGAAUCCCAGGGGCUCCAGGGGUCGCCCCUCUGCCGACGGUGCCCAUGAGCCCCAGCAAGUGCCUUCCCAGCAUGGGUCCGGCCAGGGCCCCUGGCGGGAAGCUGGGUGCAUGGCGUUAUCACAGAGCCGGGCACUGGCCAGGGGCCUCAUCUAGUGCCCCGGGCAGACCUGGAACUGUCCUACUGCUCUCUGGCCCUCGUGGAGAAGGGGCACCUCCUACAUCUGCUUGGCGAGGGGCAGGAGACCUUGGUGUCUGCCUUAGGGGCCGGGGUUUCUGGGCUCAGCUGGGCGCUGGCCUGGCCCAUGACAGCCUGCAGGAGAUGCACCGGCUUUGCCGCUGCCCCCCAGCCGAGUGGACCCCCCCCGGCUGGAGCUAACAGCUCUCGCCGCUUUGCUGCUGACCCCGUGAGAGCUCCCAGCGCCGCUGUCCCCUGUAUUCCUGCCACUGCUUACCCUGCCAAUAAAAA